rnacentral:rRNA from 1 species
UACGGAGGGGGCUAGCGUUGUUCGGAAUUACUGGGCGUAAAGCGCACGUAGGCGGCUUUGCAAGUUAGAGGUGAAAGCCCGGAGCUCAACUCCGGAAUUGCCUUUAAAACUGCAUCGCUAGAAUUGUGGAGAGGUAAGUGGAAUUCCGAGUGUAGAGGUGAAAUUCGUAGAUAUUCGGAAGAACACCAGUGGCGAAGGCGGGUCUCUGGGCCGAUACUGACGCUGAGGAGCGAAAGCGUGGGGAGCAAACAGG